rnacentral:rRNA from 1 species
GAUGAACGCUGGCGGCGUGCCUAAUACAUGCAAGUCGAGCGAACAGACGAGGAGCUUGCUCCUCUGACGUUAGCGGCGGACGGGUGAGUAACACGUGGAUAACCUACCUAUAAGACUGGGAUAACUUCGGGAAGCCGGAGCUAAUACCGGAUAAUAUAUUGAACCGCAUGGUUCAAUAGUGAAAGACGGUUUUGCUGUCACUUAUAGAUGGAUCCGCGCCGCAUUAGCUAGUUGGUAAGGUAACGGCUUACCAAGGCAACGAUGCGUAGCCGACCUGAGCGGGGGAUCGGCCACACUGGAACUGAGACACGGUCCAGACUCCUACGGGAGGCAGCAGUAGGGAAUCUUGCGCAAUGGGCGAAAGCCUGACGGAGCAACGCCGCGUGAGUGAUGAAGGUCUUCGGAUCGUAAAACUCUGUUAUUAGGGAAGAACAAAUGUGUAAGUAACUAUGCACGUCUUGACGGUACCUAAUCAGAAAGCCACGGCUAACUACGUG